GCUGUGCGCGCGCCCGCCUAGCGAGGACAGGGUCUCCAUGACAACCGGCCUGGCCGGCUAGCAGUGCUCUGCUCACUUGGCUGCGAGGAGCGCCACGAAAGGUCAGAGGAAGGAGCUGUGGGAAGCUCGCAGCAGGUAUCGGAGCUUAAGCCAGUGGAUUUGGGGGCCCUGGGCUCCCUAGCCGGCUGCGGUGUGAGAAUGGAGUGGGCAGGAAAGCAGCGGGACUUUCAGGUCUCAGUCAGUCUCUCCACCUCCAGUUCUCUCCCCACCAAGGAGUCCCAUCUACCCGCUCAGUGAUAGUGAAACCUCAGCCUGCAGGUACCCCAGCCACUCCAGCUCCCGGGUGCUCCUCAAGGACCGGCACCCCCCAGCUCCUUCACCCCAGAAUCCUCAAGAUCCCUCCCCAGAUACUUCCCCACCCACCUGUCCCUUCAAGACCGCCAGCUUCGGUUAUUUGGACAGAAGCCCUUCGGCGUGCAAGAGAGACGCCCAAAAGGAAAGUGUCCAAGGCGCAGCCCAGGAUGUAGCAGGGGUCGCUGCCUGCCUCCCCCUUGCCCAGAGCACGCCAUUCCCGGGGCCAGCAGCUGGCCCCCGGGGCG
rnacentral:lncRNA from 1 species